rnacentral:lncRNA from 10 species
GGCUUCUCAUCCAGUUGGCGGCACAGAGGAGUCCAAGGUCAGGUUGUCUAGAGUCCAGCUCUUCUCACGACCCUAGUCCGCCUCCACAGAACCAGGGACGCCGGACAAGGAGGACACUGCCUUCAGGACCCUUCUGCGGAGGUCCCUCAUGGUGCAGAAGUUGGGAGUAGAGGCAGAAACAGCUGUGAAAAUUCUGAUUUGUUUGUUUCUCUGAGCCAAGCUAAAGUGGAUAAUGAAGCCAAGCUGGCGAUUACCUUCCUGUGCGUGAUAAUGGUGGUAGUGGUGAUGCUGACUGCAGCAGGAUGACGGUGAUGUCAGCAGCGACACCAUUGGUCUUAUUGAUGGUGGCAGUGCCCAGGGUGGUGUGGGGGUAAUAGCAUGAGUGGGUGCUGGGAUGCUGUUAGUGAUCCUGCUAGGGCCAGGUUAGCUUGGAGGGGAGAGUGAUGUCCAUCACUGCAGUGGUGGCAAUGCUGCUAGAGACCUCCUGAGUAGUUGGACUCGGGCUGGCAUUGCUGCUGGGACCUUCCCUCACCCCCAUCAGGAAGACCCCUCUGCUCCUCCCCACCCUCAGUGAAGGGGGCAGGGCUCAGAGCCUUCCGUAGAACUGGCUUUAUUGCAUUCCCUGUUCUGGACAGUGUAAGCGAUGGCCCUGCCUCUCGAGAGGGACAAAUGUGAUAAAUAACCAGGGAGGACAAGCGGGAGGAGGCAGUCCUGCCACCAGAAGUCAUAAGUCUCUGUCCAGCCAUGUGACAGGCUCAUUACGGAAAGCUUCGGGGCCAUCCCGGGCUGCAGGGCCUGGGGCUCGGGAGAGCCCUCCAAUGCGUGGCUACUGAUGAAUCUGCAGCUCAGGGCUCGUGGAAUCACCAGCCUCAAUCUCUCCACCCUUCCCGCACACCAGACCAGUCAUGCCCAACUCACCCUGCAGCUGCGGCCACUCUUUCACCUCCCUCCCUCCAUCCUGGGAAAUCCAGGAAGGCAUUUGACAAAGCCUUUCCUGGUGUUCUUGGAAAUAGGAUGGACAAAUAUGAGCUGGAUAGCAGUCCAGUUAGAUGCACUGGACUCCAACAGACCCACAGAGGCCUGGGUUCACAUCCCAGCUCCAGCACUUACAGGACAUGUGAUGUUGGCAGUUGCCUUAACCUCUCCUCGUCUGCAAAGCGAUGACAGCACAAACUCUGCUUCGUUCAGUUGAAAAUGUGAGAUGAUAUAAAUCCUGCGUGGCUAGAUACCAUCCUAUCCUAAGGAAACAAGCACAAAGAUGCUAUUUGCCUGAUGACACACAGCUAAUAAGUGACAGAACUUGCAUUUGAACCGAGGAUGCAGAUACUGCUGGUCCAGAGGCCACACUUGGAGAACCACUGGUGUAGUGCAACCUGCUGAUAGCAUGCCUGGAGCCCCUGCACCCACGCGGGUGCACCCAUCCCUCAGCUACUGUGGAUAUUGGCUGCUAAUGGCUCCCAGCUGCCCCUCUGCUGGGGUCUCACCAUCUGCUGAUGGGAAGCACCUUGCCCUGGAGGUUACCCACCCCCCAACAGCGCACAGGUAAUGACCAACUGAGGAGGGAGUGGGAAGGGCUGGCCCUCUUCUUAAAUGGGGAGAAAACUUUGCAGUGUGGCGUACACUCCAGAGCCCUCUGUGGAUCAAGUCGAGGCUAGACUUUAGCUGAGAGCACAUCCUCGCUCGGCCUCCUCCUCUGCCACGGGUUCCUGAGAAGUGAGCACUCCCUGAGUAAGCAAAGGUGUCUGAAUCCCUGUCUCGGGUUCUGCUUCCAGCAAACCUGAUCCAAGACAUAGAGCAGGUGCUUAGUAGUAUUUGUUGAGUGAAUGAGCAAGUGUGAGAUGCACCAGGCAUGGGAAGACGAGCCCCUUCUUUCUACUCCCCCUACCCAGCUCAGACUGCAGGAUCCGAGGUUCAUGUGGUCUGGGUUGGCAGGGCCUCCCUGGCUGCAACCUGGUUGCAGUGGCUGCUGUCUCUGUCUGCUGUGCUGUGUCCAGGAGAGGCUGUCAUGG